rnacentral:rRNA from 1 species
AGUGAACGCUGGCGGUAGGCCUAACACAUGCAAGUCGAACGGCAGCACAGUAAGAGCUUGCUCUUACGGGUGGCGAGUGGCGGACGGGUGAGGAAUACAUCGGAAUCUACUUUUUCGUGGGGGAUAACGUAGGGAAACUUACGCUAAUACCGCAUACGACCUACGGGUGAAAGCAGGGGAUCUUCGGACCUUGCGCGAUUGAAUGAGCCGAUGUCGGAUUAGCUAGUUGGCGGGGUAAAGGCCCACCAAGGCGACGAUCCGUAGCUGGUCUGGGAGGAUGAUCAGCCACACUGGAACUGAGACACGGUCCAGACCCCUACGGGAGGCAGCAGUGGGGAAUAUUGGACAAUGGGCGCAAGCCUGAUCCAGCCAUACCGCGUGGGUGAAGAAGGCCUUCGGGUUGUAAAGCCCUCUUGUUGGGAAAGAAAAGCAGCAGGUUAAUACCCCGCUGUUCUGACGGUACCCAAAGAAUAAGCACCGGCUAACUUCGUG